rnacentral:rRNA from 1 species
GGUUAAGCGACUAAGCGUACACGGUGGAUGCCCUGGCAGUCAGAGGCGAUGAAGGACGUGCUAAUCUGCGAUAAGCGUCGGUAAGGUGAUAUGAACCGUUAUAACCGGCGAUUUCCGAAUGGGGAAACCCAGUGUGAUUCGUCACACUAUCAUUAACUGAAUCCAUAGGUUAAUGAGGCGAACCGGGGAACUGAAACAUCUAAGUACCCCGAGGAAAAGAAAUCAACCGAGAUUCCCCAGUAGCGGCGAGCGAACGGGGAGCAGCCCAGAGCCUGAAUCAGUGUGUGUGUUAGUGGAAGCGUCUGGAAAGGCGCGCGAUACAGGGUGACAGCCCCGUACACAAAAAUGCACAUACUGUGAGCUCGAUGAGUAGGGCGGGACACGUGGUAUCCUGUCUGAAUAUGGGGGACCAUCCUCCAAGGCUAAAUACUCCUGACUGACCGAUAGUGAACCAGUACCGUGAGGAAAGGCGAAAAGAACCCCGGCGAGGGAGUGAAAAAGAACCUGAAACCGUGUACGUACAAGCAGUGGGAGCACAGAGCAAUCUGUGUGACUGCGUACCUUUUGUAUAAUGGGUCAGCGACUUAUAUUCUGUAGCAAGGUUAACCGAAUAGGGGAGCCGAAGGGAAACCGAGUCUUAACUGGGCGUUAAGUUGCAGGGUAUAGACCCGAAACCCGGUGAUCUAGCCAUGGGCAGGUUGAAGGUUGGGUAACACUAACUGGAGGACCGAACCGACUAAUGUUGAAAAAUUAGCGGAUGACUUGUGGCUGGGGGUGAAAGGCCAAUCAAACCGGGAGAUAGCUGGUUCUCCCCGAAAGCUAUUUAGGUAGCGCCUCGUGAAUUCAUCUCCGGGGUAGAGCACUGUUUCGGCAAGGGGUCAUCCCGACUUACCAACCCGAUGCAAACUGCGAAUACCGGAGAAUGUUAUCACGGGAGACACACGGCGGGUGCUAACGUCCGUCGUGAAGAGGGAAACAACCCAGACCGCCAGCUAAGGUCCCAAAGUCAUGGUUAAGUGGGAAACGAUGUGGGAAGGCCCAGACAGCCAGGAUGUUGGCUUAGAAGCAGCCAUCAUUUAAAGAAAGCGUAAUAGCUCACUGGUCGAGUCGGCCUGCGCGGAAGAUGUAACGGGGCUAAACCAUGCACCGAAGCUGCGGCAGCGACGCUGAUGCGUUGUUGGGUAGGGGAGCGUUCUGUAAGCCUGUGAAGGUGUACUGUGAGGUAUGCUGGAGGUAUCAGAAGUGCGAAUGCUGACAUAAGUAACGAUAAAGCGGGUGAAAAGCCCGCUCGCCGGAAGACCAAGGGUUCCUGUCCAACGUUAAUCGGGGCAGGGUGAGUCGACCCCUAAGGCGAGGCCGAAAGGCGUAGUCGAUGGGAAACAGGUUAAUAUUCCUGUACUUGGUGUUACUGCGAAGGGGGACGGAGAAGGCUAUGUUGGCCGGGCGACGGUUGUCCCGGUUUAAGCGUGUAGGCUGGUUUUCCAGGCAAAUCCGGAAAAUCAAGGCUGAGGCGUGAUGACGAGGCACUACGGUGCUGAAGCAACAAAUGCCCUGCUUCCAGGAAAAGCCUCUAAGCAUCAGGUAACAUCAAAUCGUACCCCAAACCGACACAGGUGGUCAGGUAGAGAAUACCAAGGCGCUUGAGAGAACUCGGGUGAAGGAACUAGGCAAAAUGGUGCCGUAACUUCGGGAGAAGGCACGCUGAUAUGUAGGUGAAGCGACUUGCUCGUGGAGCUGAAAUCAGUCGAAGAUACCAGCUGGCUGCAACUGUUUAUUAAAAACACAGCACUGUGCAAACACGAAAGUGGACGUAUACGGUGUGACGCCUGCCCGGUGCCGGAAGGUUAAUUGAUGGGGUUAGCGCAAGCGAAGCUCUUGAUCGAAGCCCCGGUAAACGGCGGCCGUAACUAUAACGGUCCUAAGGUAGCGAAAUUCCUUGUCGGGUAAGUUCCGACCUGCACGAAUGGCGUAAUGAUGGCCAGGCUGUCUCCACCCGAGACUCAGUGAAAUUGAACUCGCUGUGAAGAUGCAGUGUACCCGCGGCAAGACGGAAAGACCCCGUGAACCUUUACUAUAGCUUGACACUGAACAUUGAGCCUUGAUGUGUAGGAUAGGUGGGAGGCUUUGAAGUGUGGACGCCAGUCUGCAUGGAGCCGACCUUGAAAUACCACCCUUUAAUGUUUGAUGUUCUAACGUUGACCCGUGAUCCGGGUUGCGGACAGUGUCUGGUGGGUAGUUUGACUGGGGCGGUCUCCUCCUAAAGAGUAACGGAGGAGCACGAAGGUUGGCUAAUCCUGGUCGGACAUCAGGAGGUUAGUGCAAUGGCAUAAGCCAGCUUGACUGCGAGCGUGACGGCGCGAGCAGGUGCGAAAGCAGGUCAUAGUGAUCCGGUGGUUCUGAAUGGAAGGGCCAUCGCUCAACGGAUAAAAGGUACUCCGGGGAUAACAGGCUGAUACCGCCCAAGAGUUCAUAUCGACGGCGGUGUUUGGCACCUCGAUGUCGGCUCAUCACAUCCUGGGGCUGAAGUAGGUCCCAAGGGUAUGGCUGUUCGCCAUUUAAAGUGGUACGCGAGCUGGGUUUAGAACGUCGUGAGACAGUUCGGUCCCUAUCUGCCGUGGGCGCUGGAGAACUGAGGGGGCUGCUCCUAGUACGAGAGGACCGGAGUGGACGCAUCACUGGUGUUCGGGUUGUCAUGCCAAUGGCACUGCCCGGUAGCUAAAUGCGGAAGAGAUAAGUGCUGAAAGCAUCUAAGCACGAAACUUGCCCCGAGAUGAGUUCUCCCUGACCCUUUAAGGGUCCUGAAGGAACGUUGAAGACGACGACGUUGAUAGGCCGGGUGUGUAAGCGCAGCGAUGCGUUGAGCUAACCGGUACUAAUGAACCGUGAGGCUUAACCUU